CUCCUUUGACGUUAGCGGCGGACGGGUGAGUAACACGUGGGUAACCUACCUAUAAGACUGGGAUAACUUCGGGAAACCGGAGCUAAUACCGGAUAAUAUUUCGAACCGCAUGGUUCGAUAGUGAAAGGUGGUUUUGCUAUCACUUAUAGAUGGACCCGCGCCGUAUUAGCUAGUUGGUAAGGUAACGGCUUACCAAGGCGACGAUACGUAGCCGACCUGAGGGGGUGAUCGGCCACACUGGAACUGAGACACGGUCCAGACUCCUACGGGAGGCAGCAGCG
rnacentral:rRNA from 1 species